rnacentral:rRNA from 1 species
AUACGUAGGGGGCAAGCGUUACUCGGAUUUAUUGGGCGUAAAGCGAAUGUAGGCGGUUUUGAAAGUCAGGGGUGAAAUCCCUCAGCUCAACUGAGGAAGUGCCUUUGAAACUUCAUGACUAGAGGACAGGAGAGGAAAGUGGAAUUCCCGGUGUAGCGGUGGAAUGCGUAGAUAUCGGGAGGAACACCAGAGGCGAAGGCGGCUUUCUGGACUGAUCCUGACGCUGAGAUUCGAAAGCUAGGGGAGCAAACAGGAUUAGAUACCCUAGUAGUCC